rnacentral:rRNA from 1 species
CCGCACGGGUGCGUAACGCGUAUGCAACCUACCUUUAACAGGGGAUAACACUGAGAAAUUGGUACUAAUACCCCAUAAUAUCAUAGAAGGCAUCUUUUAUGGUUGAAAAUUCCGAUGGUUAGAGAUGGGCAUGCGUUGUAUUAGCUAGUUGGUGGGAUAACGGCUCACCAAGGCGACGAUCGGUAGCCGGACUGAGAGGUUGAACGGCCACAUUGGGACUGAGACACGGCCCAG